CAUCGAUCUCUGCAUCCUUCUCCUCCUGACUAGAAAUUGAAGCACGGCCAUGUCUCCUUUCCGGUUGCUCGAUUGAUCCUACCUUCGUGCAGGUAUCGUUGAUGCAGGACAUCAAAUUGAAAGGCAUGCUUAUUUCCACCCAGGAUGUAAGGGGCACCAUGAAUGAACAGAAGCAGCAGACUCCAGGAGAACACAUGCUACAAAACAUAGGAACCACAACAGGAAUCUGCAACUGCAAGAUGGAUCAUCCAUGGCCAUCUUAUAGGACUUAUCCUCGAUGUUGAUGCGUGCCGGCGUCCAAGGUGUCCUCCAUAGCAGCACAGUUCUUGCAGAGAUAGCCCUUGAACCUGGAAGGUUGGAAGCUAGAUAUCAUGAGCUCUUUUUUUUCUGCAGGAGAAUGAAGUAUGGGAAGGACCCCCUCUUGUACUUGCUGUCCUGCAGCUCAAAACAAAUAGGUAUGCAGUGCAAAUAAAUGUUGCAGAGAAGAGGAAGAGAGAGGAGGUAUGGAGGAGGGUACCAAUAUCUCGCUGUGAGACUCAACUGUCAUUUGAUGAAGGCCAUAAAGUCAUUAGCACAGAAGCUGGGUUCUUGAAAAACAUGGAAAAGGAGCUCCCGUUUGCUGAUAUCAGACCUGGGAAUUUCUUUUACACCUGCUUUGUCAUCACUUGCUGAAAAAGAAUAUCAAGAUCUGAUCGACUGAUUGAUCACCCUGAGUCAGCUAAAGCUUGCGGUCAGGGAGGGGUAAGUGCAACGUGAGGCCUGCGUCACUCGCUCUUGACUUGUACCGCGAUCCAUUAUUGGUGGCAUGGAAAUUCUUAAUCCAAUCACAAUAAUCAGCAGCCAGCCAAGCAAAACGAGGAAGGUGUUCUUGCCUACGCUGUGACCAUAGCACAGCAGUACAGAACUACAGCGCGGUGCAAUCCAACUCCUGUUUCACUCAACUAGUCAAGCUUCUCUUCCUGCUGGAUGAUCGAUCGGCUCGUCAGAAGCCAUGCAGGCAAGGUAAUUAAUUACAUUACACACUCCCAUUUAGGGCCCCUUUGAAUAGUCGGAUUGAGAAAGCGUAG